rnacentral:lncRNA from 1 species
ACAGCUUCAUCCCGCCCGCCAUCACGGCGGCCUACAACGAAUGGACCAUCCCCUACUGCGCCGAGGUGGCGCCGCCGCUGAGCGUAUGCAGCGCACUCAACGUGUCUGCCGGCAACUGCACCUGCGCGACGUUGCAGCAGCAGGGCCGCUGCGCUGACAUGGGAACCGGCGGCGUGUGGCUGGGCAACACGUCGGACGCCAACCUGCGUGCCAAUGUGGCCAAGACGCUCGGCUACUGCUCUGUGACGUGCGGUCGCUGCAGCGAGGGCCAGGAGUGGUGCCGCGACAUCCCCAUCAUGCCGCUCAGCCUGUCCAGUGAGUGGAAGGAGGGGAUGAGGACACUUGUAAGGCGUUUGCAGUUUGGCUUGCUUCGUGGUUCUAACGCUUCCCGCGGUGUGGCGCCCCUCCCAUUCCAUCUUUGCCUGCAGAGAACCAGACGUGCUCGCAGAUGGUUCCGCUGGGCCGCUGCUACGAGGUGGCGCCCAAGGGCUACUGCCACGACACGUGUGGCGUGUGCAGCGGCGCAGGGCUGCCGUGUGUGGACCUGCGCUGGACAGAUCAGUACACAUGCGCCGACCUCAAGUCUUGGGGCUCGUGCAAUGACACCUGGGUCACGGACAACAACUUUUGUCGAAAGACGUGCGGCGCGUGCACGGGCAUGCCCCGGCCACCGUCGCCGCGGCCGCCUUCGCCACGCCCGCCAUCUCCUUCGCCUCCGUCGCCACGCCCACCAUCGCCGCCCUCACCUCCCUCGCCUAGCCCGCCCUCUCCUAAGCCGCCCUCGCCACCGUCUCCUCCUUCACCCAGCCCACCGUCUCCCAAGCCGCCUACACCGCCAUCCCCCGUGCCGCCCUCGCCCAAGCCUCCCGUGCCGCCUUCUCCCGUACCACCCUCACCGAAGCCCCCUGCGCCUCCUUCGCCCUCCCCGCCAUCUCCCAAGCCGCCCGCGCCCUCUCCCCCUCCGGUCCCUCCAUCCCCAAAGCCACCGUCUCCCUCGCCGCCCACACCUCCCAAGCCGCCGUCGCCUUCCCCGCCCUCGCCGUCGAACAGCCCUUGGCGUUGCACCGGCAACACGGCCGGCAUCGCUGGGUGUGUGGACCCGGCAUCCUACCCAGCGCCUGCCUCGUCAGCCAACGCAGCGACUUGCGGCGUCCUUCCUUCGUGCACAACCAUCGGCUGCCCCCAUUGCGACGCGUCGCUCAAGCGCUGGGACUCGGCUGCGACGUGGACAAAUUACGCUAACCAGGUGCCGGUGUCAGGCGCGGACAAGGACGUAACUCUUCCGCCGGGCACCCGUGUGCUGCUUUCGGGCUGCAUGCUGAGCGGGGGCUCGCGCUUCCGCCGCAUCACCGUUCCCGAGGGCAGCCAGGUAUGCGUCUUGGCGCAUUUGUGGUAAACUGCAAAUGCGGGGACCAGGACCUUGCGCGUUGGAAGUUGGGUGGUUAGCCAACGAAACCGUGUGUGUAAGCCGAGCUUGGGCGUUGCAACCCGGGCGCCUUCCCUGCUCACUUCAAUCGUGCCGUACGCGUUUUGGUCACGCCUCACACCAUGUCCCUGCCCCGGCUUUCUGUGCGCUGUGCAGCUGGUUAUAGACGACGCGCCGCUGAACCUGACGCUGACCACGCUGCUGGUGCAAGGCAACUUCAGUAUGGGCUCCGCCAGCUGCCGCCUGCAGAGCGCCAUCUCCAUCACGUUCGCGCCCGCGGCAGGAGUGCCCACCAACAUGAUGGCGCUCAAGGUGUGCAGGGAAAGCUUCUUUGGGACGGGCCCUCAGUAGGGCAUGUGGGUCGGGAUCGCCCGUGUCCAGGUGGGCUAGGUGGCAGUGUCGCGGGCAAUCAAGGUGUUCAUGCUGGACUCUGUGGCGUAGGAGCACUGUGUGUGCACUCUCCUCUUGUACACCUGCACCAAGGGUUCCCUCCCCUGCACAGGGCAUGAACACCAGCACUGUGGACAUGCACGGCGUGCUGUUCACGCCCACUUGGACGCGGCUGACUCAGACAGCGGCCCCGGGCACUCGUUGGGUGACUGUGCGCGACGCAGUCAACUGGCGUGUGGGGCAGCUGGUGGCCGUCCCUACCAGCGUGUGGAAAGACGAGUGCCGCAACCAGAACGAGGUCAGGCAGAUCCAGAGCAUCAGCGCCGACGGCAAGAACAUCACAUUCACGACGGCGCUGCAGUUUUUGCACUACGGGUAGGUUGGCGCUAACCUUCGAGUGAUGCUGUUUGGACGGCCGGGGCCCGUUUAUGUGCAUGUGGUGCCCAUAGUGACACCACGUACCAUCGCGGUCCUGGUGCAGGGGCCCCGAGUACCAGACGGAAGUGGUGCUCCUGAGCCGCAGCAUCCUGUUGCAAGGCAGCCCCGAGUCCGCGGCCGAGCUGGCGGGCGGGCACGUGCGCAUUGAGAGCAAGGUGGGUUCGCGCGAGGGCAAGGUGACCACUUGGCGGCGGCAUGCUGGUUGGCAUUAACGUGCAGUGCGAACGCGCACUUGUAUCUUCGAGUGAACCUCCGCUCACCUGGCGGUUCCCGUGAUCUGUGACGUGCAGCGCGGGCGCAUCCGCGGCGUGCUGGGCUACCGCAUGGGCCAGCAGUUUCAGAUGGGCAGCUACCCGUUCCAUUUCCACAUGGCGGGCGAGGUGCCGUCUGACAGCUACAUGACCGACAACGCAGUGUACGCCAGCUACUGGCGAGGUGCGCUUAUGGAGGCUUCAGGAUGUGUGUACUGUGAAGGCUGUCGUUGCAGAAUGGCCAUCCCAAACUUGCCCUGAUGACUGCCUUGACCGUAUGCCUACCUCUUGCCCACGCUCGCAGCCUUCACCAUCCACGGCACGCACGCGCUGACGGUGGCCAGCAACACCGCCUUCCACGUGGCCGGCUCGGCGUUCUACAUUGAGGACGGCGCGGAGGAGCGCAACCGCAUCAGCGGCAACUUUGCCGGCUUCGUGCACCCGCUGGGCCGUGUGGACACGUGCGACGCGGUUGGCAGCGUGUUCGGCGCGCCCACCAUCUACCAGUCUGCUACACUGCUGCAGCCUGCCGACUGGGCCGCUGCUGGCUUCUACCUUAGGUGGGCGCAUGGGGCUAGGGCCGCCUGUGUAUGGUUUCUUGCCUUUGCAAUAUCUGCGUGCGUGCCAUACGCUACGACUUGGUGAUUCCCACACGGGCUUCCCAUCGUUGCAGCAACGCCUACAACUACAUCGACAACAACGCGGCCAGUGGCGGCACCAGCGGCUUCAUGUUCCUGAACCUGCCCUUGCCGAUCGGGGUGAGUGCCGGUGUGUGCCCCCUCAUUGCAUGCUGGGUGGCAUCUUUCUUUCACAAUGCUCAAUCGUGACCCGGCUGGUGACUUCGUUUCACUAUGCCGCCUGUGCGUGCCCAUAUCUGCCCAGCUGAACCGCAACGUGCCGCUGGAGCCCUACAAGCGGCCCCCGCUGAGCUUCAGCGGCAACACCGCGCACUCGUCCGGCUAUCACUGGGACAAUGCGGGUGCAAUCUACUGCGGCGGUAACCUGCAGUACGACACAGACAACGUGACGCUGAUCUACAAGAUUGAGCGGUCCACGUUUGACCCCACGUGAGUCUUUGUGAGCUGCUUACAGCUUUCCCUUUCGCCCAGCCAUUUCGGCAACAUGCGCCGUACUCUCCCUCACUUACUUACCACAGAGACACGGCCAACUCUUCGUUACCGGUCAAGUUUGUGUUGCGCAACACCAAAGUGUGGCUGGGCGGCUUCUCAGUCGCUUCCUAUGGCGACCGGUUCUUGGUGAGUCAUUACGAUGCAUGUGGCCUUUGCCCCUGUGACUGCUUGCAAGCACGUUUGCUGCUGGACCGCACAUGAACCUACGCGCUACCUACCUGCGUCUUGCUUGUGCCCGCCCCCAGGUGGACGGCUUUGAGUCGCAUGACGGCACCAUGGGCGCGGCGGUGCGCGGUGACCCCAAUGAGCUGCUCAAUGCCGACCUGAACCUCAACUCCGCCCACGCCGGCUGGCUGACUGCCAACAUCCCCAAUGAGUGAGUCUUCUGCCUGCAAUCAUAGGCCAUGCUAUGCCGCUCGUCGCAGCUACCCGGUCGAUAACGCCCGUAAGCCCCAUCGCACCCGGCUGCUCCUUUGGUUUACCACUCGCAGCCUGCAACAAGGCUACCGCUUCGGUCUGCAGUUCUACGACACGUGGAUGCGGCACCUUAUGUCCAACGUCACCAUCCGCAACGUGGUGUACAGCAGCACCGAGUGGCUCACGCAGGCGGCGCUGGUGGCAUUGACCUUUUCGGACCAGUUUAAGCCGUUCCACGUGGCCAGCAUUCGGGGCAUCCGCCUAGUGAACGUGACCAAGGCGGCCGUGUUGAGCAACCCCGUGGUCCGCACUGGGUCAUGGCGCUUCUACAACUUCCUGGGUGCGGACACGAAUGGCGGGGCACGUUCCAUUAGUUUGCUUGUGUAUGUGUAAGGAAGUUUUGUACCUUUGUUGUGCCACACGCCCGUUCUUGAUCUUGCCCGAUGCACACACUGACCUGCAGACGCGGACGGUUCCUUCACGGGCACCAAGCGCCCCACGCUGGUAGCGUCCUACUCCGCCACCAACAACACCGGGCCCUGCGAUGCCGCUGCGCCCACACCCUGCACCUCGAGCUUUAACUGGUGGCGCACGGACACGGCCUGCACGGCCACGCCGCCAAAUGUGUGAGUGCGGGGUCGGCUGGGCUAUUGGCUGUGCCGGUGACUUGGCAGUGCAGGGCAACAUAGCACGCACUGCUGACACUCAACACCACUGGCAUUGCUAUCUGUCCCUCAACCAACAAACACAUGCGCAGGCCUGCAACGUCGAACGUCCUCGCGUGUGACUGGUGGGUGGAGAAUGGACGGACCUGCUGUGUGCUUUGUGGAUGCAAACAUAGCAGCUGUUGCCUUUUAUGCUGCACAUUGACGGAUACGUACAUGGGCAUUGACCCUACCUGCUUUUACUCGCCGUGUUCGCCAGGUACCCAUGGCGCACCCAGGGGCGCCUGAGGCUGGAGGUGCCGAGCUAUGACCUCACGGUAACAACUUGAUGGUCUGCACGCCUCGCUAUGAACCUUCCACGUGGGGUGUCCCAACCAACAACGUGUUAUGCGACCUGCAUUCGCGUCACGUUUGCCUUGACUACGCUCCUGCGCAGACUGAAGAGGCUGGCUGGUUGUGGCCUUCCGUCAACAACAUCAACGUGUACGACGCCGGCGUGGUGGCGCAGUUCGGCCAGACCGGCGCCAGCCGCCGCGCCACCAUCAUCACUCGGGCCGAGGGCGUGACGGGCCUGACGGGGCGCGGCGGCUGGUACGCGCACUGGAGCCUGGGCGCACCCAAGUACGUCAAGGUGCAUUUGGAGACUGUGCCCCGCGGCACCUCCAUCAUCUUUGCUACGCGCUACCCCGCCGGCACCACCUUCAGCAUCACCCGCGUGGCCAGCUCCUGGCUGGUGCCUGACGGGCAGCUGCUGCCCGCGACCAGCCUGGCGGCGGUGCUGGGCAGCGACUCCGGCGAGUUCUACUUCUUUGACGGCAAGCUGCUGUACCUGAAGCUGGUGGACCUUUGGGAGGAGCCGUACCAGGGUCGGCUGCCGGCCCGGAGCGGCGGGCUGAUGGUGCCCGGCAGCCGCUGGGAGGAGUACUAUGAGGUGACGGCCAGCAUCCCUGGCUGCUCCACGUCGCCGUACCCCAGUCAGAACGGACAAGACUUCUCUGGGCAGUUCUGUGCCAUGAACGUGAGUCAGGAUCAGGCCAAUGAGGCCAUGCAUUGGGACUGGGAGUAGGCAUGGCAGGGGCAGCAGGGGCAGGGACUGUGUGCACGUGCCCCUUUGGAACCCAGAACGGCGCCAGCCUCACCAAACCUGCCGCUGGGCCACCCUGUGUACAUACCGUAUGACAUUCUUCCUCUCCUUGCGCUCCAGGGCACUGUGGACAGCUUCAUCCCGCCCGCCAUCACGGCGGCCUACAACGAAUGGACCAUCCCCUACUGCGCCGAGGUGGCGCCGCCGCUGAGCGUAUGCAGCGCACUCAACGUGUCUGCCGGCAACUGCACCUGCGCGACGUUGCAGCAGCAGGGCCGCUGCGCUGACAUGGGAACCGGCGGCGUGUGGCUGGGCAACACGUCGGACGCCAACCUGCGUGCCAAUGUGGCCAAGACGCUCGGCUACUGCUCUGUGACGUGCGGUCGCUGCAGCGAGGGCCAGGAGUGGUGCCGCGACAUCCCCAUCAUGCCGCUCAGCCUGUCCA